CCCGGGGACGGGCCUGCCGGCCUGCCGCGCGCGGCGCCCCGACUGUGCGGGCGGCUCCCCGCCACCGGCCUCGUACGGCCCCGCGCACAUCCCCGGCCUUCCAGCGUGGAGCUCGAGAACAGCGACCCCGCGCACGCACCCUCCCUUGUCAGGCGGGGAAGCUCAGGGGCUGAAGUCCUCCUGCCCCCCAGCGCACCUGCAGUGAAACCCGAGGCCUUGCGCCCAGGAACCAGGCUCGAGUCAUGCCCCACGGCUGCUGAACCUUCGUGGCCCCCAGCACAACGUCUUAUUAAUCCAUGACUGGUGUGUCUCUGUGACACCACAGGCUAAACUGUUCCCCCACCUUUGGACCAGUCGCUCUACACCCCCAAUCCAGACCGCUGAAGCUUGCCUAGCUUCUGGUGAUUUGUGUUGCUAUUUCUAUCCAGCUCUGCAAUCCAAAGUCACUGCCUGGAUAAAGCUGUAGAAGGAAAAUGGGGCCUUUGUAGAAAAAUAGAUGAUGAUCAUUUUAAGUGCAAGCCUUUGCCUUUAAGCCUGUUGAAGAAUGAAGAAAGCCUUCUCUUCACUGCUACUUUCCAUGCACAGUCCCUCUGACAUCUCAGCAGAAGUGAGG